UACGUAGGGUGCAAGCGUUUAAUCGGAAUACUGGGCGUAAAGCGUGCGCAGGCGGUUAUGUAAGACAGAUGUGAAAUCCCCGGGCUCAACCUGGGAACUGCAUUUGUGACUGCAUAGCUAGAGUACGGUAGAGGGGGAUGGAAUUCCGCGUGUAGCAGUGAAAUGCGUAGAUAUGCGGAGGAACACCGAUGGCGAAGGACAAUCCCCUGGACCUGUACUGACGCUCAUGCACGAAAGCGUGGGGAUCGAAACAGG
rnacentral:rRNA from 1 species